GGGCCCGUAGCUCAGCCUGGUAGAGCGGCGGUGGGAAGCCCGCCGAUGCUCUUAACCCGUAGGUCGUGGGUUCGAAUCCCACCGGGCCCG
rnacentral:tRNA from 1 species